UACGGAGGGUGCAAGCGUUAUCCGGAUUCACUGGGUUUAAAGGGUGUGUAGGCGGGCUUUUAAGUCAGUGGUGAAAUCUCCGGGCUCAACCCGGAAACUGCCAUUGAUACUAUUAGUCUUGAAUAUUGUUGAGGUAGGCGGAAUAUGUCAUGUAGCGGUGAAAUGCUUAGAUAUGACAUAGAACACCGAUUGCGAAGGCAGCUUGCUAAACAAUUAUUGACGCUGAGGCACGAAAGCGUGGGGAUCAAACAGGAUUAGAUACCCUGGUAGUCCACGCCCUAAACGAUGAUUACUGGACAUUUGCGAUAUACAGUGAGUGUCUGAGCGAAAGCAUUAAGUAAUCCACCUGGGAAGUACGUCCGCAAGGAUGAA
rnacentral:rRNA from 1 species